AAUGAUAGGGAAAGUAAAAAACAUAAAAAWUAAAAWUCAGAGAAAAAUUAUAGGAUUUAMUAAAGACUGACCAAUGCGAAAGCAUUUGCCAAGGAUGUUUUCAUUAAUCAAGAACGAAAGUAGGGGGAUCGAAGACGAUCAGAUACCGUCGUAGUCUCUACCGUAAACUAUGCCGACCAGGGAUCCGGAGAGUUUGCAUGGAUGACUCCCCGGGCACCUUGUKAGAAAUCAUAAGUGUUUGGGUUUUGGGGGGAGUAUGGUCGCAAGGCUGAAACUAAAGGAAUGACGAAGCCCCCAUCUGAGCUCUGCA
rnacentral:rRNA from 1 species